rnacentral:rRNA from 1 species
CCAGACUCCUACGGGAGGCAGCAGUGGGGAAUAUUGCACAAUGGGGGAAACCCUGAUGCAGCGACGCCGCGUGAGUGAGGAAGUAUUUCGGUAUGUAAAGCUCUAUCAGCAGGGAAGAAAAUGACGGUACCUGACUAAGAAGCCCCGGCUAACUACGUGCCAGCAGCCGCGGUAAUACGUAGGGGGCAAGCGUUAUCCGGAUUUACUGGGUGUAAAGGGAGCGUAGACGGAAUAGCAAGUCUGAUGUGAAAACCCGGGGCUCAACUCCGGGAGUGCAUUGGAAACUGUUGAUCUAGAGUGUCGGAGAGGCAAGCGGAAUUCCUAGUGUAGCGGUGAAAUGCGUAGAUAUUAGGAGGAACACCAGUGGCGAAGGCGGCUUACUGGACAGUAACUGACGUUGAGGCUCGAAAGCGUGGGGAGCAAACAGGAUUAGAUACCCCGGUAC